CAGGCGCUCUGCCCCGCCGUGGGGUUUUGGGGGUGCUGUGGAGAAGGCAGGGCUCGGGACUCUUCCACCUCCUUGGCUGCUCUGGCCUUUGAGUUAUGCUCUAAGAUUAUCGAUUACUUUUCCGUUGUUGCUUAUUUCCCACAGCAGCAGAAUGAGAACGGUUAUUAGUUAAUAGCCAUCAGAGACAGACCAAGUGGAACACAGUCCUCGGAAAAACGCCACUCUGUAGCAUUAGUAAUUAAAACCUCACAAGGUUUGUAUUUCCUGAAGGAGGCCGUCAGUGUCAAUGCUGUACUAACGACGGUACUGUACGUAAGUUUCGGUACUGCCCCCACUUUCUUCUCCUUGACAUUGUAUUACUAAAAGCUGCAGCUACUCUCUACAGUUUUCUCAUUGGUUACUAAUGUCUGGAACAGCAGCUAGAUUAUGCAGUAAGCUCUUGGUAUGUAUUAGCUAUUAUAUAAUAAUUUAUUUGAAUAGAGUAGAACUAAAAAUUUGAAAUGAGUUAAAACCAAAGAGUUAAAAGAUUUAUGGUAGUAAAUAUUCAUACUGUUUUGUUGAUUUGGACAGUUGUCUUGAACAGCUUUGAAAGGGAACAUAUGACAGGUUUCGUUUAUAAUUUUAAUUGAUGCUGAACUCCACUAACAUGAUAUGUGCAGCUGGUGUUACAUUAUAACUGAGUUUUUUAAUUACCCAGUGAAGAAAUUCAAGAUGUCAUGCUCUUGUUUUUCUCCAGAGUGAACCACAAAGUCUGAAAAACUGUUGUUGACGACUUCUCAGUCCUUUAUGUGGAGCUGGGGGCAGGAAGAAUUGCUUCUGGAAGCUGAUGGAGUUGGACAUGUGGCUUUCUAGAAUCUGGAUGUGAUGGUGCAGGAAAAACUCCUGCCCAUUGAGAGGGCUCCGUAAGUGCUUCCCAAAAGAGAAUGAGAAGGAAAAGGAGAUCUCCACAGGAACUGCCUCCUUGGAUCCAGGGCAAAAAUGAACCUCCUAUUGGAGAGAAGUGCCCAGCUUGUCAAGAAGUUGAAUCGGUGCAACCAGCGUUUGUGAAAGCAGCAUUUCCCAUUUCACAUAAAGUCAGCUUCUGGCCAACUGGACAAGUCUGAACAAAUAUGAAACCCACUAAAAGGCCAGUGACAGGUGCACACACUACUGACUCUGGCUAGAGGCUGUGGCAGGAAUUGGACUCAUGUCAUCCAGCGACAGUUCCACCAGCAUCUCUUGUGGCUUCCCAAGGACCAGCCUGAGGCAAACUCCUCAGUGGUGUGAAGACUUUCCAUGUCACUGGAAACCCACCACAGAGUUCUACCAAGUAACCAUGCCUCCACCAGUCCACAACAAACUUUUAAGGCCUCUCCAGUUAUGCCUGCAACCAUCCCACAUUAGCAACCUAAGUAGGCCACCAGUAGAGCUGGUCAAGAGAAAGGAUAGGUUCAAUUAAUUAUUUUUUAAUUAAAAAAAAAUAGAGACAGGGUCUUGUUAUGUUGCCGAGGCUGGUCUUGUACU
rnacentral:lncRNA from 1 species